rnacentral:rRNA from 1 species
UACGUAGGGGGCUAGCGUUGUCCAGAUUUAUUGGGCGUAAAGAGCGUGUAGGCGGCCAGGUAGGUCUGCUGUGAAAACUCGAGGCUCAACCUCGAGACGUCGGCGGAAACCAUCUGGCUAGAGUCCGGAAGAGGAGAGUGGAAUUCCUGGUGUAGCGGUGAAAUGCGCAGAUAUCAGGAGGAACACCGAUUGCGAAGGCAGCUCGCUGGGACGUAACUGACGCUGAGACGCGAAAGCGUGGGGAGCAAACAGG